rnacentral:tRNA from 1 species
GCGCCCAUAGCUCAAUUGGAUAGAGCGCCGGACUACGAAUCCGUAGGUUGGGUGUUCAAGUCACCCUGGGCGCGCUA